UACGGAGGGUGCAAGCGUUAAUCGGAAUUACUGGGCGUAAAGCGCGCGUAGGCGGUUUGUUAAGUCAGAUGUGAAAGCCCAGGGCUCAACCUUGGAACUGCAUCUGAUACUGGCAGGCUAGAGUACAGGAGAGGGAAGUGGAAUUUCAGGUGUAGCGGUGAAAUGCGUAGAGAUAGGAAGGAACACCAGUGGCGAAGGCGGCACUCUGGACCAAUACUGACACUGAGGUGCGAAAGCGUGGGGAGCAAACAGGAUUAGAUACCCCGGGUAGUCC
rnacentral:rRNA from 1 species